rnacentral:rRNA from 1 species
CGUAGGAGGGGUGGAAUAAAGUGGACGCUCGAAGGGGACGCAAACACAAAAUACUUCCAUGCUUAUGCCAAUGGCCGGCGACGUAAGUGUGCCAUUCUGAGGUUGCAAUCGGAGCAGGGGCUCCUAUUGCGCCAACAGGACAUAGUCCGGCACAUUUACGAUUUCUACAUCAAGCUGCUGGGCUCCAGGGAGGAGUCCAGGGCUCGCCUACGGGCGGAUAUCUGGGAUCCCGCUCUGCUGGUCUCGGAUGAAGAGAACGAAGGCUUGGGCCUCGCCUUCCUUCCUCAGGAAAUCGACCAGGCGAUCCUGGGG